rnacentral:rRNA from 1 species
UACGUAGGCAGCGAGCGUUGGUCGGAUUUACUGGGCGUAAAGCGUGCGUAGGCGGUUUUGUAAGUUUGGUGGGAAAUCUCCCGGCUCACCUGGGAGGGUGCGCCGAAAACUGCAAGGCUGGAGUGUGGGAGAGGUAGGCGGAAUUCCUGGUGUAGCGGUGAAAUGCGUAGAUAUCAGGAGGAACACCGGUGGCGAAGGCGGGUCUCUGGGCAGUAACUGACGCUGAGGAGCGAAAGCGUGGGGAGCGAACAGG